GUCCCUUCGGAGACAUCCGAUAAAAUUGGAACGAUACAGAGAAGAUUAGCAUGGCCUGGGCAAGGAUGACACGCACAAAUCGAGAAAUGGUCCAAAUUCUU